GAUUAAGGUCUAUUGUCAAUUAAGCAUAAAACAUAGCGCUAGGUUUUCUUAAUGAUGAAGGUCUUCUAUUGUCAUUUAAGCAUAAAACAUAGCGCUAGGUUUUCUUAAUGAUGAAGGUCUUCUAUUGUCAUUUAAGCAUAAAACAUAGCGCUAGGUUUUCUUAAUGAUGAAGGUCUUCUAUUGUCAUUUAA